rnacentral:rRNA from 1 species
CCCAAGAGAUCGGGAUAACACCUGGAAACAGAUGCUAAUACCGGAUAACAACAGAUGAUGCCUAUCAAACUGGUUUAAAAGAUGGUUCUGCUAUCACUCUUGGAUGGACCUGCGGUGCAUUAGCUAGUUGGUAGGGUAACGGCCUACCAAGGCGAUGAUGCAUAGCCGAGUUGAGAGACUGAUCGGCCACAUUGGGACUGAGACACGGCCCAAACUCCUACGGGAGGCAGCAGCA